rnacentral:snRNA from 1 species
CUGCUCCCUCUGCAGCACAUAUAUUAAAAUUGGAAAGAUACAGGUAAGAGGUCAGAGGAGUAUGGCCCCUACGCAAAGAUGACACACAAAUUUGUAAAGCGUUCCGUAUUUUU